rnacentral:rRNA from 1 species
GGCUCAGGAUGAACGCUGGCGGCGUGCUUAACACAUGCAAGUCGAACGGACGCUUUGGGAAACUGAAGCGUUAGUGGCAAACGGGUGCGUAACACGUGGGCGACCUACCCCAAAGUGGGGGACAACGGACCGAAAGGUUCGCUAAUACCGCAUUAGCUCAGUCCUUCAUUGGGUUGAGUAAAGCCGCAAGGCGCUUUGGGAGGGGCCCGCGGCCCAUCAGGUAGUUGGUGAGGUAAUGGCCCACCAAGCCGAUGACGGGUAGCUGGUCUGAGAGGACGAUCAGCCACACUGGCACUGAGAUACGGGCCAGACUCCUACGGGAGGCAGCAGUGAGGAAUAUUGCGCAAUGGGGGAAACCCUGACGCAGCGACGCCGCGUGGGCGACGAAGGCCUUCGGGUCGUAAAGCCCUUUUGGCAGGGACGAGUGAGGACGGUACCUGCCGAAUAAGUCUCGGCUAACUACGUGCCAGCAGCCGCGGUAAAACGUAGGAGGCGAGCGUUAUCCGGAUUCACUGGGCGUAAAGCGCGCGUAGGCGGUUGGGUAAGUCGGACGUGAAAGCCCCUGGCUCAACUGGGGGAGGCCGUUCGAUACUGCUCGGCUUGAGGGUGAGAGAGGGAAGUGGAAUUCCCGGUGUAGCGGUGGAAUGCGUAGAGAUCGGGAGGAACACCAGUGGCGAAAGCGGCUUCCUGGCUCACUCCUGACGCUGAGAGCGCGAAAGCGUGGGGAGCAAACGGGAUUAGAUACCCCGGUAGUCCACGCUCUAAACGAUGAGGGCUAGGUGUUGGUGGGAUUUCCCAUCUGUGCCGAAGCAAACGCGUUAAGCCCUCCGCCUGGGGACU